UUCUUCUUUUCUUCGUAUAAGCUUCCUAUUAUAAGGAACACCCCUUAACGGGUAAUAUUAAAAUAUUAAAAAAAGGGGGAAGAAACAGGGAUAAAAUAUAUUACAUCAAGGUAAAAUCCAGUGGUGGUGCGCUAUACAUAGACAGUGAAUUGUAGAAAAAGAAAAAACCGAAUCAUAGCAUAUAAAAAUAUAAAAUUAUGUACAUAAAAAUGAUAAACCGAUCUA
rnacentral:lncRNA from 1 species